rnacentral:rRNA from 1 species
UACGGAGGGUGCGAGCGUUGUCCGGAAUCACUGGGCGUAAAGGGCGCGUAGGCGGCCCGGUAAGUAGGGGGUGAAAUCUUGCGGCUUAACCGCAAGGCUGCCUUCUAAACUGCCAGGCUUGAGCACAGUAGAGGCAGGUGGAAUUCCCGGUGUAGCGGUGGAAUGCGUAGAGAUCGGGAAGAACAGCGGUGGCGAAGGCGGCCUGCUGGGCUGUUGCUGACGCUGAGGCGCGACAGCGUGGGGAGCAAACAGG